rnacentral:tRNA from 1 species
AGGUGCGGCCCCUAUACAUUUCUGAUUAAAAAUUUGGUAACUUUACCUACAUUA